rnacentral:rRNA from 1 species
AGUAACGCGUGAGGAACCUGCCUCAAAGAGGGGGACAACAGUUGGAAACGACUGCUAAUACCGCAUAAGCCCACAGCUCGGCAUCGAGCAGAGGGAAAAGGAGUGAUCCGCUUUGAGAUGGCCUCGCGUCCGAUUAGCUAGUUGGUGAGGUAAUGGCCCACCAAGGCGACGAUCGGUAGCCGGACUGGGAGGUUGAACGGCCACAUUGGGACUGAGACACGGCCCAG